UACGUAGGGGGCAAGCGUUGUCCGGAAUUAUUGGGCGUAAAGAGCGCGUAGGCGGUCCGGUAAGUCAGCUGUGAAAGUCAAGGGCUCAACCCUUGAAAGCCGGUUGAUACUGUCGGGCUAGAGUCCGGAAGAGGCGAGUGGAAUUCCCGGUGUAGCGGUGAAAUGCGCAGAUAUCGGGAGGAACACCAAUGGCGAAGGCAGCUCGCUGGGACGGUACUGACGCUGAGGCGCGAAAGCGUGGGGAGCAAACAGG
rnacentral:rRNA from 1 species